GAUGAACGCUAGCUACAGGCUUGACACAUGCAAGUCGAGGGGAAACGACAUCGAAAGCUUGCUUUUGAUGGGCGUCGACCGGCGCACGGGUGAGUAACGCGUAUCCAACCUGCCCACCACUUGGGGAUAACCUUGCGAAAGUAAGACUAAUACCCAAUGACGUCUCUAGAAGACAUCUGAAAGAGAUUAAAGAUUUAUCGGUGAUGGAUGGGGAUGCGUCUGAUUAGCUUGUUGGCGGGGUAACGGCCCACCAAGGCGACGAUCAGUAGGGGUUCUGAGAGGAAGGUCCCCCACAUUGGAACUGAGACACGGUCCAAACUCCUACGGGAGGCAGCAGUGAGGAAUAUUGGUCAAUGGACGAGAGUCUGAACCAGCCAAGUAGCGUGCAGGAUGACGGCCCUAUGGGUUGUAAACUGCUUUUAUAAGGGAAUAAAGUGAGCCUCGUGAGGCUUUUUGCAUGUACCUUAUGAAUAAGGACCGGCUAAUUCCGUGCCAGCCGCCGCAGUAA
rnacentral:rRNA from 1 species